rnacentral:lncRNA from 1 species
ACUCAUUCCUGCUCUGACUUACCAGAGAUACAGACCUCUGUCAGCCAUACAACACCAGUUACAUUGUUUUCACAGUGUGCUAGGCGUGAAGAAGUCUGUAACACAGCCCGUAACCUCAAACACAGUCAGGAAUCGGGGGAGAGUGGAUUCAUCGGGGGAGGACCGUGCACCUCCUGUGUCUUUCGGGGCGCAGGCUCAGUUCCCCAAUCCUAACCCUUCCGCGGAUAAGGCCGGUCAGCAUACACUUUGACUGUGAAAGAUGUCUCAGGAAAACAGGAAGUCCCACCAUGAGCAUAUGCUGGAGAAGGGACGGUAUUGGAUGCAGGCAGCCUGCCAAAGGCUCGAGCAGGAGAGCAGAUGUCCUUUGACCACAUGGCGUUUUUCCAGUAUGUGCUGAUGGACACCCUCAUGAAGUCGCACGGCAUCGCUAAGAAGACGGUGCUGGAAUUUAAACUCACUGACUGGACUGACAGGGAGGUGACCGCUGGUGUCGG